rnacentral:rRNA from 1 species
UACAGAGGGUGCGAGCGUUAAUCGGAAUUACUGGGCGUAAAGCGUGCGUAGACGGCUAUCUAAGUCGGGUGUGAAAGCCCCGGGCUCAACCUGGGAAUUGCAUUCGAGACUGAAUAGCUAGGGUACGGUAGAGGGAAGUGGAAUUUCAGGUGUAGCGGUGAAAUGCGUAGAUAUCUGAAGGAACAUCAGUGGCGAAAGCGACUUCCUGGACCAAUACUGACGCUCAUGUGCGAAAGCGUGGGGAGCAAACAGG